rnacentral:rRNA from 1 species
CCUACGGGAGGCAGCAGUGGGGAAUCUUGCGCAAUGGGCGAAAGCCUGACGCAGCCAUGCCGCGUGAAUGAUGAAGGUCUUAGGAUUGUAAAAUUUCUUUCACCGAGGACGAUAAUGACGGUACUCGGAGAAGAAGCCCCGGCUAACUUCGUGCCAGCAGCCGCGGUAAUACGAAGGGGGCUAGCGUUGCUCGGAAUUACUGGGCGUAAAGGGAGCGUAGGCGGAUAGUUUAGUCAGAGGUGAAAGCCCAGGGCUCAACCUUGGAAUUGCCUUUGAUACUGGCUAUCUUGAGUACGGAAGAGGUAUGUGGAACUCCGAGUGUAGAGGUGAAAUUCGUAGAUAUUCGGAAGAACACCAGUGGCGAAAGGCGACAUACUGGUCCGUUACUGACGCUGAGGCUCGAAAGCGUGGGGAGCAAAACAGGAUUAGAUACCCUGGUAGUCCACGCUGUAAAACGAUGAGUGCUAGUUGUCGGCAUGCAUGCAUGUUCGGUUGGACGCGAGCUAACGACGAUUAAAGACACUACCGCCGUGGGGUAGGUACGGGUCGGCGAAGAAGUUAAAACUUAACAAAUAAGUUAAAGUUAGUACGGCGUUGAGAGNGCGAGGACGACACGAGGGAGGAGG